GAUGAACGCUGGCGGCGUGCUUAACACAUGCAAGUCGAACGGUGAAGCCUUCGGGUGGAUCAGUGGCGAACGGGUGAGUAACACGUGAGCAAUCUGCCCUUGACUCUGGGAUAACUUCGGGAAACCGGAGCUAAUACCGGAUAUGACAUCUGGCCGCAUGGUCUGGGUGUGGAAAGAUUUAUCGGUCAAGGAUGAGCUCGCGGCCUAUCAGCUUGUUGGGGGGUAAUGGCCCACCAAGGCGACGACGGGUAGCCGGCCUGAGAGGGCGACCGGCCACACUGGGACUGAGACACGGCCCAGACUCCUACGGGAGGCAGCAGUGGGGAAUAUUGCGCAAUGGGCGGAAGCCUGACGCAGCGACGCCGCGUGAGGGAUGAAGGCCUCGGUCGUAACC
rnacentral:rRNA from 1 species